rnacentral:lncRNA from 1 species
GUGUGUAACUGUGGAUCAAGAUACUCGGCCUCUGCCCCUGAGUGCCUCCAGCUAUAAAGCAGGGAUGAUAAAAUGGUAGUGCCCACUUCACAGGCAUGAAGCUUGGAUGGGUUAACCAGAAAGCACAGAAAAUUCCUGGCAGACAGUAGGCAUUCGGAGUGCUGGCUGUCCUAACUGGAAGCUGGCGUUGGUGGCACUGCGCUGCACGUGUUGAAUGCAUCACCUCAUUGAAGCAUCACAGGAAUUCUGUGAUGUAGUUACUAUUGCUUGCCGGGGUGAGGGGUACUGGGGCUUGAACCCAGGGCCUUGUGGAUUCUGAGCACAAGGUCGGACCACUGAGCUGAACUCCCAUGACCUCACUAUACAGAUAACCUAAGUGAGGCUUUUAGAAGUGAGGUGACUUCUUACUUAGGUUCCAGCUGACCUGAAGAGCUAUAAUUCUUGUUCCAGUUAUACUACUUCAAGCUCUAGUCCAGGCAUUUGGUGGGCAGCAGCCUAGCCAUCCUCUGGGAGCUUGUUAGAGGGGAAGAAUCCCAGGCCCACCCCAGACCUCCUGAAUGAGAAGCUGCAUUCAAACAAGAUAGCAAGUGAUAAUUUUGUUUGCAUAUUACAGUGGGUUCCACUGCCCAAAUUACUGUGGCCUUCUCCCCAAAGUCUUCAGAAUACAUACUUAACUUCACUGGGACUGGUCAACAUUGUUUUCUUGUGCCAUCUUUCAUUUUCUGUACCGAAGUGAGAAGGUGACAAUCAGUUAUGCAGAGUAUAUUGCUUCUCGACAACAUUGUUUCCAGAAUGGCACUCUUCAUGCCCUGCCCCUCUACAAUCAUUACUCCAGAGACAAGGCUGCAUGACCAGUCCCACCCCCCUGUAGCCACCAAUGGCUAUGACAUCAUUGGAGCAGAUCUCUCCUCUUCCUGGCCCAGUUACUUCUAUUACUGCACCAUUUUAUGAUGCUAGCUUCCAUUGCCAAGGCUGCCUCCCACUGACUGAGGGAGUGUGGGGUUACACUGAAUGAAGCAGAACUUGAGGGGCCCAAGCCUUAUCUCAGCCUUUCCUCAGUAUGAGGUUCCACUGGACGGGGCUUCUCCAUGACUAGUGAGAAUCGCUGUGUGGGUGCUGAAGACCCUGGUCUGGUGAUUUGGCACGUGUGGUGGCCACACACUGGAAUUAGAGUUGAUGAUCCAUGGAGGUUUGAAAACUGAGGCUCAGAAAGAG